AGCUGUGGGAAAAAAAACAGGCAUUUUCCGACAGAAAAGAUCACGUCAUUACGUCUUACUCUGGGUUAUGCUUGCCUUAUUUCCUGACCUCAUUGAAGCACAAUCUGAUUGGAUCUUUACCAAAAAAAAUCCACGAUCUUUACCGGGAGGCCGCCAUUUUUUUUUAGCCGGGAAGCUAACAAACAAUAGCAGACCCGCUAACAGCCGCAGGUGGAGCCGGACGGAGAGAGAGAGGGAAGAACAGCGGAUACAAAUCGCUCAGUCGUUACUGCUUUGGACUUCUCAUGACUAUAUUCACAACCUGGAAUACUUUUAUGAAGAAACCCUUUUGAUUUGUGUGACCCUGUGGACCUUUACGGACUAAAGGAAUAUGAACAACGGAAGAAUGGAAAGACAAUCGGAGUUCUACACGUCUAAACGAAUCAAAAAGGCAGAAGUCUUUUCUUCUCCUACACGCAGAGGACUCGCACCUCAGAUCUUCAAGUCCGGCGUUGAAAAUACUACUUAUUCUACAACAUCUUGACAUCGACAGCGACCUCUAGUGGCCUGAUGGAAACUGAAGCCGCAUGAAGGUGAUAAACCUGCAGCGAGACGUUCAUCUGAAAGGUGAGGUGAGCACUCCUGUAUUUUCACGUUACUUACCUGUGUGAAUUACCACUCUCAGACAGGUAUAAAAAUAACACAUACCAUCCCAGCACCACCUCACUGAACUCCACCACCUCCCCCUGCCCCCACCACUCGGUUCACAGACCGAUAACAUGGACUCAGUGCCCCUCUCAGGUAAACCUGAACACUCUCCCGUGACGAGGCAGCGGAUUGACUGCAGAUUAGAAAACUAUUUUAUCAGGACAAGUCAUUUCAAUUUCUAACUUACUUUCACCAAAUCCACCAUCGGCUCAUAUGUAGGUGACGACACGAGAGUGAGAGUGUGAUAAAGUGUCACGGUGAAAUCAUCUCAAAUGUCAGUAAUUUAUUGACCAAAUAUUUAGUUGCUAAAUAGACGUUGGAAACUCAUGUGAACAUUAAAACAUUAAAAAAGUCGUCGACUGCGAACAAACUCCAGGCCUCAGGUCUUAAUAUGAUUUCUAUGCAAUUAUGUUUUAUAUUUGAAAUCACAGAAGAGUGAGUGUUGACGCUGAACUUGGCCUCCUUUCUGCAGCUGUUA